rnacentral:rRNA from 1 species
UAGGGAAUCUUCGGCAAUGGACGAAAGUCUGACCGAGCAACGCCGCGUGAGUGAAGAAGGUUUUCGGAUCGUAAAACUCUGUUGUUAGAGAAGAACAAGUGGGAGAGUAACUGUUCCCACCUUGACGGUAUCUAACCAGAAAGCCACGGCUAACUACGUGCCAGCAGCCGCGGUAAUACGUAGGUGGCAAGCGUUGUCCGGAUUUAUUGGGCGUAAAGCGAGCGCAGGCGGUUUCUUAAGUCUGAUGUGAAAGCCCUCGGCUCAACCGAGGAAGGUCAUUGGAAACUGGGGAACUUGAAUGCAGAAGAGGAGAGUGGAAUUCCAUGUGUAGCGGUGAAAUGCGUAGAUAUAUGGAGGAACACCAGUGGCGAAGGCGACUCUCUGGUCUGUAAUUGACGCU